rnacentral:snRNA from 1 species
GUGCUCACUUCGGCAGCACAGAUGCUAAAAUAGGAAUGACCCAGAGAGGACUAGCACAGUCCUUGUGCAAGGAUGACAUGUAUGAAGUGUUCCAUAUUAAA